rnacentral:snRNA from 1 species
GUGCUCACCUCACAGCACCUAUACUAAAAUUGGAAUGAUACAGAGAACAUUAGCAUGUCCUCUACACAAAGAGUCAUGAAGCUUUCCAUACUUUU